ACAUCCUCGGAACUUCGUCAGAGAUGACUUGGUGCCUUCGGGAACUGAGAGACAGGUGCUGCAUGGCUGUCGUCAGCUCGUGUCGUGAGAUGUUGGGUUAAGUCCCGCAACGAGCGCAACCCUUGCCAUUAGUUGCUACGAAAGGGCACUCUAAUGGGACUGCCGGUGACAAACCGGAGGAAGGUGGGGAUGACGUCAAGUCCUCAUGGCCCUUAUAGGUGGGGCUACACACGUCAUACAAUGGCCGGUACAGAGGGUAGCCAACCCGCGAGGGGGAGCCAAUCCCACAAAGCCGGUCGUAGUCCGGAUCGCAGUCUGCAACUCGACUGCGUGAAGUCGGAAUCGCUAGUAAUCGCGGAUCAGCAUGUCGCGGUGAAUACGUUCCCGGGUCUU
rnacentral:rRNA from 1 species